rnacentral:rRNA from 1 species
GAGUUUGAUCCUGGCUCAGGAUGAACGCUGGCGGCGUGCUUAACACAUGCAAGUCGAACGAAGCACUUUAUUUGAUUUCCUUCGGGACUGAUUAUUUUGUGACUGAGUGGCGGACGGGUGAGUAACGCGUGGGUAACCUGCCUUGUACAGGGGGAUAACAGUUGGAAACGGCUGCUAAUACCGCAUAAGCCCACAGGUCGGCAUCGACCAGAGGGAAAAGGAGCAAUCCGCUUUGAGAUGGCCUCGCGUCCGAUUAGCUAGUUGGUGAGGUAACGGCCCACCAAGGCGACGAUCGGUAGCCGGACUGAGAGGUUGAACGGCCACAUUGGGACUGAGACACGGCCCAGACUCCUACGGGAGGCAGCAGUGGGGAAUAUUGCACAAUGGGGGAAACCCUGAUGCAGCAACGCCGCGUGAGUGAAGAAGUAUUUCGGUAUGUAAAGCUCUAUCAGCAGGGAAGAUAAUGACGGUACCUGACUAAGAAGCUCCGGCUAAAUACGUGCCAGCAGCCGCGGUAAUUC